UGCUUCAGCAUCGAACCGUCCGCGCGCGCUCCAUGUCAGUGACGCACUAAGAAUUUCUUGUGCCCCGAGCAGAUUCCUGUAUUUGUUGCCUAUCGUAAAGGAAUGGUGCCUCUCGUUGACCCUUUCCUUCCCCGACCCAUGCGGCCCGGGGGAGGACAUCAUAGCAAUGCUUGUGCCCCUAGUAAUGAAGGUGCCUCAUGGCGCGCGCAUUGCGAAGGUUCCCGAGUUGCCUGCUUGAUAUCUCGGAUACGGAAAAUUCGGUGGACUCGGGGGUCUCUGCACCCUUGCACGUCCAAUUUAAAGCGACAUGUACGACCGCCGAGCUCGUUGCGGGGCUUCCCGCGCGUUGCUUGGUGUCGGCAAAGGAAUGCUACCUGGUU
rnacentral:misc_RNA from 2 species